rnacentral:rRNA from 1 species
UACGGGGGGGGCAAGCGUUGUUCGGAAUUACUGGGCGUAAAGGGCUCGUAGGCGGCCAACUAAGUCAGACGUGAAAUCCCUCGGCUUAACCGGGGAACUGCAUCUGAUACUGGAUGGCUUGAGUUCGGGAGAGGGAUGCGGAAUUCCAGGUGUAGCGGUGAAAUGCGUAGAUAUCUGGAGGAACACCGGUGGCGAAAGCGCUCUGCUAGGCCGCAACUGACACUGAGGGACGAAAGCUAGGGGAGCGAAUGGG